rnacentral:rRNA from 1 species
GACGAACGCUGGCGGCGUGCUUAACACAUGCAAGUCGAACGAUGAAGCUAGAGCUUGCUCUGGUGAAUUGGUGGCGAACGGGUGAGUAACACGUGAGUAACCUGCCCCGAACUCUGGGAUAACUGCUGGAAACGGUAGCUAAUACUGGAUACGACCUACGAAGGCAUCUUCUGUAGGUGGAAAGAAUUUCGGUUCGGGAUGGACUCGGGGCCUAUCAGCUUGUUGGUGAGGUAAUGGCUCACCAAGGCGACGACGGGUAGCCGGCCUGAGAGGGGGACCGGCCAGACUGGGACUGAGACACGGCCCAGACUCCUACGGGAGGCAGCAGUGGGGAAUAUUGCACAAUGGGCGCAAGCCUGAUGCAGCAACGCCGCGUGAGGGAUGACGGCCUUCGGGUUGUAAACCUCUUUUAGUAGGGAAGAAGCGAAAGUGACGGUACCUGCAGAAAAAGCACCGGCUAACUACGUGCCAGCAGCCGCCGUAA